CAAUUAAUGGCGUUUAUAAGCCGGAAGCAGGAAGUAGCCAGGAGACAGGAAAUGAGAUCGAUUACAUUUCUGCUCAAGAGACGACUUCCAGCGCCGGGUUCUUUGUCAUGAAGCUGUGUUUGACUGUAGAAGCUGAGUUGGCCAGGCUUCUCUUUUUGAUGUCACGCUAAGGAAAAUAAUCACCUAGUCCAAGGAUCAAGUUUGGAAGACUCCAGCCAGGAACCUCACCACAUGUUCUGUCUGGACUGGUAGGAGGCUUUCCAGCCAACCCUUUACUAUUUUCACCUUUACCUGAAGCACAUGGACUGUACUGCCAUCGUUUUUUUCCCCAAGAACAACUAUCUGAACUGAGAUUUGAACAAGAUCCAGAGACACUGCUUAGUUUAAAUGGAAUUGUAUAUAUGUAUAUAGUACUUGUGUUUUUCUCUUUAAAUUGCUUUCAUGUUGAAUGGCCAUUCAACUCAUUGUGUGUGUGUAUAUAUCUGCUGUCCAUCACUAAUUCUGUAAUGCACGCUGUCAACCAAACUACAAUUCAAGCUCUGUCUCUCUCUAUGAGUUGAAACUAGUGUUCUGUUCCUAGCCGAAAA